rnacentral:rRNA from 1 species
AUACGGAGGAUCCGAGCGUUAUCCGGAUUUAUUGGGUUUAAAGGGAGCGUAGGCGGAGGAUCAAGUCAGCUGUGAAAUGUAGACGCUCAACGUCUGCACUGCAGUUGAAACUGGUCCCCUUGAGUGCGUAAGGGGCAGGCGGAAUUCGUCGUGUAGCGGUGAAAUGCUUAGAUAUGACGAAGAACUCCGAUCGCGAAGGCAGUUUGCCGGGCCGCAACUGACGCUGAAGCUCGAAGGUGCGGGUAUCGAACAGGAUUAGAUACCCUGGUAGUCCGCACAGUAAACGAUGGAUACUCGCUGUCGGCGAUAUACGGUCGGUGGCCAAGCGAAAGCGAUAAGUAUUCCACCUGGGGAGUACGCCAGCAACGGUGAAACUUAAAUGAAUUGACGGGG